rnacentral:rRNA from 1 species
AUUGAACGCUUGCAGAAUGCUUUACACAUGCAAGUCGAACGGCAGCACGGACUUCGGUCUGGUGGCGAGUGGCGAACGGGUGAGUAACAUAUCGGAACGUAUCCAAUAAUGGGGGAUAACGAGUCGAAAGAUUCGCUAAUACCGCAUACGCCCUACGGGGGAAAGCUGGGGACCUUUGGGCCUGGCGUUAAUGGAGCGGCCGAUAUCUGAUUAGCUAGUUGGUGAGGUAAAGGCUCACCAAGGCGACGAUCAGUAGCUGGUCUGAGAGGACGACCAGCCACACUGGAACUGAGACACGGUCCAGACUCCUACGGGAGGCAGCAGUGGGGAAUUUUGGACAAUGGGCGCAAGCCUGAUCCAGCCAUUCCGCGUGAGUGAAGAAGGCCUUCGGGUUGUAAAGCUCUUUCGCAAGGGAAGAAAACUUAGCCACUAACAUUGGUUGAGGUUGACGGUACCUUGAUAAGAAGCACCGGCUAACUACGUGCCAGCCGCCGCAGUAACAC